AGAAAUGGCAGUAGCUGUCUGAGGUGACAUGAGUGGGAAAAUGGCCAGCCAUCAGUCCCCAGAGAACCUCAUUUUCAGUCAUCCUGACUUUGUGUCCACCCAUGUGAGCCCAAAGUCACCAAGUCAGCCACUCACAGAUGCCAAAGUCAAACCCAGUUCUCCAAGAUUCCCUUCUGCUCUGCUGUCCUCAGAAUGGGUAUUUGAACAAUGCUCUUGUUUUUAAAUCAAGAUUUAUUAUUCCAUCGACAAUGGAGGAGAAAGAAAGCCUCAGUCUGAAUGUGAAGUUAGCCAUCGCCAGGCUGUCCCCUCGCCAUUGGGAGCCUACAGCCAUCCCUCCUUCCUGGGUCAGAAACACUGCGGAGCAGGACUCACAGCUCUCAGCACCCCUCAGACUUGCCUUUGGCAGCUUGGAGCUUCCACACGGGCAUCUCCCUCCCGCCUUCUGCAUCAGGACGCCUGAAGGGUUUCUUGAGCGGAUUUGGACUGUGUACAAAACAGGAAGAACCAGUGUCCUCAGGCUGCUUCUGCCUUCAAAGUUUCCAGAGUUCCUAAGGGAGCCUCUGGGAACAGAAGAAAUCCUCCAUAACAUUUUAGACUUAAGGAGAUGAGAUGCACCAAUGGUCUGUGAUUCCUUACUGCACAUCAUGUAAAAAAAUUAACUCAAAAAACAUAGACCUAAAUGUCUGAAAUUUUCCCCAUUAGUUACUAAUGAGUCACUGGUAGGCUGGACCACAAAGGUUGGAGUGUUAUCUCUACACUUCCAUAAUCAAGAUGCACAGAAGGCUUCCACAGAGGUGUGUACUUCCAGCUCCAGCGACCUGGGUUUGUUGAGUGCAACUGUCCCUCAGCCUUCUGGGUCGGAGCUCCAGUCAGUAGAAGAAUGACACACCUGAACAUUUAACUGGGUCUUGAAGUCUAACAGCAUCUUAAACAGAGGAGUGGUCUGUGAUACAUGGGAAAACCGGAGCUGAGUGGAAACCUUCAGAAUAUUCUCUCAGAGCCCAGAUGUUGAAGGAGGAUAUAGAGGAGACUUGAGAAGUUUGGAGGGAUCAAAAGAAAGGAACUGAUCAUAAUAAUAUGAUUUGAAAAAUGCCAUCCACCAAUCUAGUGUCCAUGAGUUUUUACAGCAAUUACUGUUAGUGGGAAGUGAAGUCCAUUUUCCAAAUUGCAAACUCAAAGGAGCAGUUUAAAGAUGGACUCUGAUUUCCCUGAACUACACAGUGUUUUUCUCCACCAUAAAAGACAACAAAGUUGACCCUCUGGUUACUCCCACUGAACCUAAAAGGCCAUCUAAGGGAAAACAGGAUGUGGCUAAGAACAAUGACACCUCUGCAAACCGCAAACAGAGCCAACAGAUGAAUGAAGCCUGGUGUUUUCAGAAAGUCGGAAGAAAAGCAUGGAUUCAAACAGAGAACAAUGGUUGUGAAAAUACUAUUGUUAAUUUUGCCCACCAACCAAAAUUUCCACCUUCCUCUUCUAGCUAGUGCCUUUUCAUCUGUCUAUAACGCCUAGAAAUGAUCUGUGCAUUAAACGUCCUCUUGCCUGUGCUCUGAAGCCCUCUCUGUGGUUUUUAAUGUCCGUCAUCAUUAUAGUGAUCUUUCAAAUGAAAAGUUUGUUCAGCUAUUCUCAAUAGGGAAUUCCUAGUCAUAUAAACCACAGA